AGUUUGAUCCUGGCUCAGGAUAAACGCUGGCGGCGCACAUAAGACAUGCAAGUCGAACGGACUUAACCUUAUCUUUUAGAUUAGGAGCGGUUAGUGGCGGACUGGUGAGUAACGCGUGAGCAACCUGCCUAUUAGAGGGGAAUAACAGUGAGAAAUCAUUGCUAAUACCGCAUAAGCUGAUAGAAUCGCAUGAUUUUAGUCAGAAAAGGAGCAAUCCGCUAAUAGAUGGGCUCGCGUCUGAUUAGCUAGUUGGUGGGCAACGGCCUACCAAGGCGACGAUCAGUAGCCGGACUGAGAGGUUGAACGGCCACAUUGGGACUGAGAUACGGCCCAGACUCCUACGGGAGGCAGCAGUCGGGAAUCUUCCGCAAUGGGCGAAAGCCUGACGGAGCGAUGCCGCGUGGGGGACGGAGGCCUUCGGGUCGUGAACCCCUGUCACCCGGGACGAAUCAACUGACGGUACCGGGAGAGGAAGCCACGGCUAACUACGUGCCAGCCGCCGC
rnacentral:rRNA from 1 species